AAGAACUGGCUGCCCUAAAUAAUACUCCUGAGCAUGCUCCUGAUGCCACUAAGAUUUUCUUAAAUCAUCACAGCGAGAUGCCUGAUGUGUUUUCUACAAACUUUCCAUGAAAUGUAUCAAUGUCUGCUGCUGACCUCGCAAACUGUACCUGCUCAAGACCAGGGGAAGAGGAGUGAUGCUGAAAACCCCUCAGACGUGGCAGCACUCUGUUCUCAUGCCAUGUGCUGGGGUCCCAGAUGCCUCAGAGAGAGGCCUAUGGGCUAAUGGGGGUGGGGGAGAGAAACAAACCCGCAGAGAAAUACUGACAACACAGCCAGACAAGACCUGAAUAGGGGUCCUGUGUAGUGGGUGGGAGUGAUGGGGAGAAUGAGGAUUAAGUGAGCAAAUUUAUGGAAGAUGCCUACACGGUGCCAGGCACACAGCAGAUGCUCAAGAAAUGGGAACCAGUCUCAUUCUCGCUAUCACACAUCCUGCUGGGCACACAGAAUAGCAAGGCCUCUGCCUGUGUUGACUGCCAUGCCCCCUCCCACCCCCACCAUCUGCUCCAGCUUGCUUUUCUGAUCACUGAGAAACACACCAAAUUCUUUCCCUCCUUGGGAGGGAAAAGCUGUUAUUAUGUGGGGAACCCUCUGUUCCCCGCUCUUGGCAAAGCUGGCUCCAUCUCGUCCUUCUGACCUCAGGGUGAAUGCCACCUCCCCAGAAAGGCAUUUCUUGAUCGCUCCAUCCCCCCCAGGGUUAUUGUCUAUCAGAACCUACUGGCUAUUUCCUUCUUUGCAAUAACCAGCAGCUGCAAUGAUGGGGUUUAUUUCUUUGUUUUGUUUAUUGACCCACCAGACUUCAAGCUCCAGAAAGAGAAGAGCCAUCUGUGUUGUCCACGGUUGUGUCCCAGUGCUCAGAAUGUGCUCGGUGCAUGAUCAGCGUGUGGUCGAUCUACCUCUGCCCGAGGGGGCUGGGAAGGCCUCACAGAUAAAGGUGCACUUGACCAGGGCCUUGGAGCAGGGACAAGAGUUUACCUACCAGGGGCUGCGGAGAUGAGGUGGCAUGGGGCCUGCUUUUCAGUGGGGUGAAAGUACUGAGAAAGGAGACUUUGUCUCGGAGCAGCUCUGUCCGGGAGAAGACAGGGCUCUGAGUGCAAACAGGCACUGGGCGUUCCAACAGAAAUCCCCUGGGGCUGCGAGGGAAGGAUGUUGGGCCCUUCAUCCCACUAUCCCAGGCUGAGGGCUCAGGCCCCGCCCUCUGAUCUGGGCUUUCUGGCAGCCUUCUGAGCUGGAAUUUGUUUUUUACAAUGUGACCUGGGAAGAGGGUCGGGGACCUUAUCAGGUGGCCAAGCCCAGUUUUCAAAUAAUAAUCAUGAAAAUUAGAAGUAUUACCAUUCCUGGAGCUCUUACUAAGCAUCAACCACUGUAUCGGGAAUUUACACACAGUAUCUGUCUAAGCCACCGUCACCGCACAAGGUUGGCGUUACUUCCCCCAUUUUCUGAGGCUACUGAGAUUCAAAGAGGGUGAGUCACACGUCCGCAGUCUUGGGGCUGGGAGGCGGUGGUGGGAGCUUUAGACCCAGCUGCGUCUGACUGCCGAGCCAGCCUCUUAACCACAAUCCCCUUCUGGCCGGUGUAUUCACAGGUGAACAAUUCAUUAGGUCUGGCUCUGACCCGUGGGGCUGAGUCAUCAUCAGUCAGACCGCCUGAACCUGUUCCUCUCUGGGAAGCCCAUACAAACCUAAUCCCUAAACUGACAACACUGAGGGCAAGACUCUGAACUUUGGUAACCCUGCGACAGGGCUGCUAGUCCCUGCUCCUGCUCAGAGCUGCAGACUGCCUCUCCCCGGGGCAGGAGGUGAGCUAUUGCAGAAAUCCUGCUCUGCCAUGGAGCGCGAGGGCUGAGGGCUUGGGCAGAGAGGCAGACAGACUGGUUUGAAAUCCAGCCCCUGAACUUAGUAGCCGAGCAACCCUGGCUUGGGCAAGAUUUUUUUUACCGCUCUGCCCUUCAACCCUUACCCGUAAAACGAAGACAAGAACAGUCUCCUGCUUGUUGCUGUCAGGAUAACAUGAAAAAACACAGCAAGCUUUCAGCCCGUGGGAGCCUUAUUAUCACUGCUGUCAUUACCAGUCUUAAGGGGAGGUGUAUACAACAAAGUGGGUUUGAAUCCUGGUGCCAUCACUUUUUAGCCAUGUGACUUUAAGCAAGUUUACUAACCUUCUCAAUUCCUCACCUUUAAUUUAGGAAGUUUCGGGGGGGAGGGGUGGGGGAGUCCGGUGCCCUCCUCCUUAAAUUAAAAUCAGCUUCUGUGAAGGAAUUGGGAAAUGCCAGAGGUAGGGGAUGAUUCUUGUCACGUAUGGACAGCGUCUGCCCUAAGCCGUGGUCUGUCAGGAGGCAGCCAAGGACUUCUGGACCAUCUGAAUCUCAUCAGAGCGUCCAGGGUGUGGUCUCCAGAGCGCGGCUGUGGCAGCUGGUCUGAAGCUUUCGACUAGUUUGUGUGCGUUUGAGCUGAAAGAAGACUGCUGUACGCAAGGAGCGUGGCUCCUCAUGUGAAACUACAGGUGCUAUGGUGAGGCCAUUGCCCAGGACUGAGGAGGGAUCCACACAGCAAGAGAGGGUGCAGCUGGCAUCAAUCUUCGGGGUCAAAGCCAACUCACGAUUUGUAAUCAGACCCUUGAAACCAAAACCUACAUGGAUGUAAUGACGUUACAUCUUGGGCCAAGUCAGCAGACUGUCCUGAGAACAAUGCAACCCGUCUUGAGACCACACAGUGCUUCCGGCUUCCAGACACAGCAGGUGCUGUUGCUUCCAUGAGUAAUGUCAUCACUUCAUACACAAGGGGAAAGAGAGGAAGGAACAGGUAUGGAAGAAGGGUCCGGGAGGAGGAGGCAUUAGAUCCUCUCUGGGGCCCUGUCCAGCCUGGAGUUAGAUGGGGGUGAUACUGGCAGCUUGUGAUGCCAGGAGCCUUAGUUGGGGGGCUGGGGAGGAGAGCGUUCUAAGGGGAGAAAAGUGGUCUGGAGGCAAGAAAGCCCAGGAUGGACUGAUGGCAGAUGGAGGCACAGGCAAACAGAGCCAGAAGAAAGAGCAGCUGAGGUCUGUGAGGAGGUUGGACCCAAGCCACGUCUAAGAAGAAAGGUCAGAGCACUUAGUACAGGUCCCCAAACUUCAGGGCACAUUAGAAUCCCAUGGGAAGCUGGUUAAAACCCUGGUUCCUGGGGGCGUCCCCAGAGGCCCUGAGUCUGGGAUGGGCCAGAAGUGGCAUUUGUGACCAGUUUCCCAGGGGAUCUUAUACAAGCAGUCCUGGGGAAACCCUGCUGACAGGAGUUUCCUCUGUGGAUGUCCGUGAUCUGCUCUGUAACUUGAGAGGUUUGUCAAAGACAUCCCUACUGUCCCUGUCAACUAUGACCCUGGGCUUCUCGGGGGCUUCCAUGUCAUCUCUUUGCCCAAGCUUACAGGCCUCAUUCUCUCUCUCAACGUAGUUGUUUCCAUGCCUUUUAAUUUACAAGGCAGGCAGGUGGUCAGGUUCCUGCUCAGCUCUUGAAAAGGUCUACAGAUAAUAGACUCUAGCAACUCCAUCUGGUCCGCCCAUUUGGGUAAGAACAAGGCAGCAUCUUGUGUGUUCACGUGGGCGUCCAAACGGGACAGACUCCCUCUCUCAGGAGGCUACGGCUUGGGGCCAGGACGAAACCACUUCUGGGUCUCAGGUCACAGGAUCUUGCAGGAUGAUUUACUUAAGGAAGAAACCUUCAAGGGUUUAAGGGAAAUUAAACAUGUAUAUUUCUCCAGCAAUUAUGCAUGUGCUUUCCCUUGAAAAAUAGUCCCCAUGCCCUGCCUGUAAGGAAAGACAGAUUCUCAAUGAAUCUGUGUUCUGAAGGCGUCCGGAGGGGGAUGGUGUUUUCUAGCAGCGAAAGCCACAUGAAAGUCUUUACAGCAGCUUUGCGCUGUUCCUGCUACAGCUCCUUUCAGGGCAGACCGUAGAAUCUGAGAGUCCUGUCUGGGAAAACGAGACAGGCUGGGUCUGAAACAUUGAUUUCUGGUUCAAGUUUCUCUCUGCAAUGUGAAUGAGGAAUUUUCCACUUCUCCUUGUCCUGAUUCACCUUGGCGGAGUCUUUGGAGUCCCAGACUGGGGCAAGGAAAGUCUGUUUCAAGUGGGCGUCCAGCCAGACUUGCACCCCAAAUGAAUAGUCCUCUGUGCUGUUCCAGUAUCAGUUGUCUCCUUUUGGCUGGGAAAAGCCUCUAUCCACCUGACUGCUGCUUUAGCCAUUUUGCUCUGGGAGGAAUCAGGCCAGAAUGUCAGGACAAGAGAAUGUCAUAGUGCCGUGUAAGUCCUUACCACUGGAUACAGACUUAAGUGGGUGAUAUAGAUCCAGUUAUUCUAACUGAAUAGCUAGUCUCUGACUGGCUCCAUGCCAGACUUUGGGGAUCAGAAGGUAAAUAACACAAUCCCUGUUCUCAAGAGUUUACAGUUUAGUGGGGACGACAGCUGUGCAAAUAUCAGCCAGGGCAGACUGUGACCAAGAUGACAAGAGAGAUGCAGAGAAAUGAGGGAGAUAGACUCUGGCUGGAAGGCAUCAGGGAAUGCUUCCCAGAGGAGCUGGCAUUUGCACUGGGUCUUGAAGGAUGAAUAGGACUGGAGAGGUGGGGGGAGCAGGGGGAUGGGCUGUCAGAGAACAGCACUGUGAUUGGAACUUUCCUGGUGCAUGGGGGCACAGUAAAUAGUCUUGGGUCACUAGCAGGUAGAUAUGCAAAGAAAUGAAUAGGAGAUGAGACUUGAGGAAAAGGCAGGGGCCAUGCCAUGAAAGGCGCUCUAAGUUAUGGGGAGGGUCUGGACUUGACAGGGCAGGCAAUGGACAGCCAUCAAGAAGACUUGGAGCCAAGAGAAAGGAAGUGGACGUAGAUAGAACAAGUAAAAGGUUUUUGCAAUAAAUCAGGUGAGGAAUUAGGUUGGCCAACCAUAGGCUGAGGAAAUGAAAAGUCAAGGACAGAAUCAAAAGAUAUUUUGGAAAAGAAAAAUAAUUGAUUGUUUGACCGUGGGAAGAGGGAGAAUUGAAAGAUGCCCAAAUAUGUGCUGAUCCCCAAUUUAGACAGUGUUUGAGGGGUGGUAGGAUGGUUGGUGGUUAUUCACACAGGCUCUCGAGUCAGAGGGCCUCUGUCCAACAUCUGGGUUUUCUAGGAAAUUUCUAUCUAGGAAAUUGACCAACUUCUCAUGCCUCAGUUUCCUCCUCUGUCAAAGGGAAUGAACAAAUUGCACAGUAAAUCUGUUGGCUAUCAUUCUGUUGAGAGGCCGAGCACUUUUUGGUAUCAGUUAUUCCCCCAGGGUUCCCGAGGGUCUGUGACUUGGAAUUUGAACCGAGUGCACUGUGAAGAGGGUGUGCCCAGUGGGUCACUUUGCUCAGGAGGGUGGGGCUCACUCCACCCAUUCUGGCUCUCCAUCUGGUAACACAUAUGACAAUUCUGUUAAGUGAUAAAAUCAUUUUUUUGCAAAAAAACACCUGCCUCUUUUAAAAGCAAAGAGGUCUAAGAAAGAGUUGUUUCUUAGGCAGAAAAUGGAAGUUUUACAGGGGAAAUCACUGCCAGAAUGGCAUUUGAGGAUUUGCGGUUUCUCAAAAGAAUCCUGCAAAUCCUCCUUUGCAUUCUCACUGUCAAAUUAUAAGAGGGCUGUGAUACGUGGGGUUUUAAAAACCGUUAAACAGCAUACAUACGUAAACGUCCAUAAAACAUACAGCAAAACAGACCAUUAUAAAGUGAAUAUUUGCAUAACCACCACUCAGGUCAAGCAACAGAAUGUCAUUAGCACCCAUUGCCCCUUCCUGUCACACCUCUUCUCACCAAAAAUAGCUUUUGUCUUGACUUUUAUGGCAACUGCCUCCCUGAUUUUCUCUCCUCCCACCACCUAGGCAUCCUGGUCCCUGGACACCAAGAUUUCAUUUUGAUUGUCUGUGAUCUCCAUAUUCUGGAAUCAUAUGCAUGUACUCUUGUGUCUGGCUCCCCUUUCUCAACGUCAGGAACGACACACACACACUAUGAUGUGAGCCUGCGGUUUGCAUAUUUUCACCACCAUGCUAUAAGAAUAUACCACAAUUUGCUUAUCCAUUUGACUUCUAGUAGGCGUUUGUGUUGUUCUAUGUUGAGGCUAUUCUGAAUGGUACUGCUGGCAACAUUCUUAUCCAUGUGCACACACUUCUGUUGGAAUUUUCCCGAGAGUGGAAUAGCUGGGUCAUAAAAAGUAGGUGUACCUUUAUCUUUAGUAGAUACUGCUAAACAGUCUUCCAAAGUGGUUCCCCCAGUCUACACUUCCGCUGGCAAGGCCCAAGAAUUCCCACCUCCCUCCAUACUCACCGAAAUCUGGUAUCGCCAAUCUUUUUCAUAUGUUUUAUGACUAACAGAGGUUUGAAGGGUAUCGGAGACAAAUAACCAGAGGUGGAUGAGUACCAGAUCAAUUUCAGGUUUAAAGAGCUCUUUGUAAAUAAGUACAGUGAGUUCCUUUUUCAAGGGAAGGCCUGUAAUUAUGCUUUAACAUGCAAAAGAUUAUUGUAAAUCUCUGAAUGGAGUUACAGAAACAGGCUGAUGUGGGUGGGUUGUUGGUGCCAAGAGGUGGGGUUGUAAGGAGAUAAAAUAGUAUUUCAGAAAAGUCUUUGAGAUGGAAACAGACAUGGGGAUGGAGAGAAUCAAGGGUUCAUUGAGGCAGGGUGGAAGCCCUGAGGGAACAGCUCUGGAAAAGGAUUUCAGAUUUUGGAACCAUAUACAAGGCGAUGUUCAGAGAAAUGCGUCAUUAGGCAAUUUUGUAGUUGUGCAAACCUCAUGGAGUGUACUUACACAAACCUAGAUGGUAUAGCCUACUACACACCUAGGCUGUAUGGUACUAGUCUUAUGGGGCCACCAUUGUAUAUGGGGUCCAUCUUUGACCAAAAUGUCAUUAGUGGUGCAUGGCUGUAUUGGUAUGGGUCUGGUGGUUCUAAAAAUGUACAUAAAUGCUAUUAUAUUGUUCUUUUCAUUUACAAUUUGGCUUUUCCCCUUAAAAUAUUGAUCUAGCUUAUUAAUUUAUUAAUUUUAAUUACUAUCUGGUGUUUAUUUGCA